rnacentral:sRNA from 1 species
AUGGCUGUCGUCAGCUCGUGUCGUGAGAUGUUGGGUUAAGUCCCGCAACGAGCGCAACCCCUACCCUUAAUUGCCAUCGGGUUAUGCCGGGCACUUUAGGGGGACUGCCGGUGACAAGCCGGAGGAGGGUGGGGAUGACGUCAAGUCCUCAUGGCCUUUAUGACCAGGGCUACACACGUGUUACAAUGGGAGUUACAGAGGGAAGCUAAGCCGCGAGGCCAUGCCAAUCCCAGAAAAACUUUCUCAGUUCGGAUCGCAGUCUGCAACUCGACUGCGUGAAGCUGGAAUCGCUAGUAAUCGCGGAUCAGCACGCCGCGGUGAAUACGUUCCCGGGCCUUGUACACACCGCCCGUCACACCAUGGGAGCCGACAAGGGCAGAAGUCGCCGAGCUAACCUUCGGGAAGCAGGCGCCCAAGCUGUUGUUGACGACUGGGGUGAAGUCGUAACAAGGUAGCCGUAGGAGAACCUGCGGCUGGAUCACCUCCUUUCUAAGGACGCCGGAGAUGCUUUAUGCUUAUCUCUGGAUAGUCAAAGUCGAAACAGACUCUCUUCUCUUCUCUCCCUUUUCUCCUGUAAAUGCUAAGUUAUGAAUUUAGAGCAACGAAGGGAUUGAAUUCGUUACUGUGGACUCCUAAUUUCAAGAGGGGCCUGUAGCUCAGCUUGGUUAGAGCGCAUCCCUGAUAAGGAUGAGGCCGGUGGUUCAAGUCCACCCAGGCCCACCAGGUUCAGUGGGGGAUUAGCUCAGCUGGUAGAGCGCCUGCUUUGCAAGCAGGAGGUCAGCGGUUCGACCCCGCUAUCCUCCACCAAAUUAAUGAACAGUAAAAAAAGUGGUGCAACUUAAGCAGAAGAUAAGCUUCAGCAAUUAUUUAAUAAUUUCUGAAUUUUAUUUUUUAAUAUCUUAGACAAUUGAAUCGGAGGUUUUGGAGACACAAGAUCAAAUGUGAGGGUCUCCAAGGGUUGACGAUCUUGACUGUUAAAGUCAGGUAGUAAGGGCGCAGGGCGGAUGCCUUGGCUCUGGGAAGCGAAGAAGGACGUGGCCAGCUGCGAUAAGCCUCGGGGAAGAGCAAACAUCUUUUGAUCCGGGGAUUUCCGAAUGGGGAAACCCGG